rnacentral:rRNA from 1 species
UACGUAUGGUGCAAGCGUUAUCCGGAUUUACUGGGUGUAAAGGGUGCGUAGGUGGCAAGGCAAGUCUGAAGUGAAAAUCCGGGGCUCAACCUCGGAACUGCUUUGGAAACUGUUUAGCUGGAGUACAGGAGAGGUAAGUGGAAUUCCUAGUGUAGCGGUGAAAUGCGUAGAUAUUAGGAGGAACACCAGUGGCGAAGGCGACUUACUGGACUGCUACUGACACUGAGGCACGAAAGCGUGGGGAGCAAACAGG